AGAGUUUGAUCAUGGCUCAGAUUGAACGCUGGCGGCAUGCUUUACACAUGCAAGUCGAACGCGAAAGCGGGGGCAACCCGCGAGUAGAGUGGCGAACGGGUGAGUAAUACAUCGGAACGCGCCCUUUAGUGGGGGACAACGCCGAGAAAUCGGCGCUAAUACCGCAUACGCCCGAAAGGGGAAAGCGGGGGACCGCAAGGCCUCGCGCUGUUGGAGCGGCCGAUGCCCGAUUAGCUAGUUGGUGGGGUAAUGGCCCACCAAGGCUACGAUCGGUAGCUGGUCUGAGAGGAUGAUCAGCCACACUGGGACUGAGACACGGCCCAGACUCCUACGGGAGGCAGCAGUGGGGAAUUUUGGACAAUGGGGGCAACCCUGAUCCAGCCAUGCCGCGAGUGAAGAAGGCCUUCGGGUUGUAAAGCUCUUUCGGCCGGAACGAAAUCGCGCGGGCGAACAAUCCGCGUGGAUGACGGUACCGGAAUAAGAAGCACCGGCUAACUACGUGCCAGCAGCCGCGGUAAUACGUAGGGUGCAAGCGUUAAUCGGAAUUACUGGGCGUAAAGCGUGCGCAGGCGGUCGCGUAAGCCAGAUGUGAAAGCCCCGGGCUUAACCUGGGAAUUGCAUUUGGUACUGCGUGGCUAGAGUGCGGCAGAGGGAGGUGGAAUUCCUGGUGUAGCAGUGAAAUGCGUAGAGAUCAGGAGGAACACCGAUGGCGAAGGCAGCCUCCUGGGCCAGCACUGACGCUCAUGCACGAAAGCGUGGGGAGCAAACAGGAUUAGAUACCCUAGUAGUCC
rnacentral:rRNA from 1 species